AUCUGUUGGUUGUUCUAAAAUUUUUCAACGACAGAUUACAAUGAAAAGAGAAAGAGAGAGAAGGGUAGAGGGAAUUAAAUAUUCUUUUAAUACUAUUUCUAAAUUAAAAAAUAUAUUUUAUAGAAUUAAUAUUACACAUACGUAAUUGUAGUCUCUUUCGCGGAAAUACAGAUGGCAAUAUUAGCUGUACGUAAUUAUAUUCGAUAAAAGACAAUUUCACUCCAUUGUAAUAGUUUGAAGUGAAAAGGCCGUUUCAUAUUUCUGUAAACAUUUAAAAAGCAUAAUUGGAAUGUCGGUCCAACAUUAAUAUUCAUUAACUCCACAAUUAUUAGUAUAACUUGUGCACCUUCGUUGAAUGCUAUUGUAAACAAAGCUAUUUAAACAAUAAUGGAACCAUUGAAAUUUGAUUUCGGUGCUAUUUGCCACAUUAAUGGAUUGAAACAUUCAUUAUUAUUUCGGAUGAAUCCCCCAGCAUAUCUUUGCAAUAAUUUUGGAUCCAAAAGAUCUUCGUAUAUCGGAAAUAAAUUUAUAGCAACAUCUUCGGGAAGUGGUGGUUUAUCGAUAAACGAUUCCAAGCCUUGAUGAGAACAAUAUCAUUAACAGUUUUUACUGCAUUCUUGAUCUGUUUCACAUACAAUCAUAAAAACUAUGAAAUUUUGGUCGCGGUAAAUCCAUGAAGGUACAAAAUUUUUCUGUACCACAUAGCCCAACACAAAUGAGUUUUAUGGCUAAUUUUCAUAUGUAUUGUUUAUAAGGGGGCAUAAAUCAAUCGACACAGGAUCACAUUUUUCGCAAUUCAUCGCAAGUUCAAAACCUAAUUCUCGAACACCACGUUCAGUAAAAUUUAUAUUACCACCACAAUUUUUAUAAGAAACAUAAUCACGAAGUACAGUAAAAAUAGAAAAGAAGUUCAAAAUUUUAUAAUUUGUAUUUAAAUUAACGUCAAUCAGUAUCAUUUGAUAUUUUUCUUUUCGAAACAUUCAUACGCCGUUUGGAACUUUAACCAUUUUCAAUCUCAAAUUUAUUACGAGGUUGAUUAAAUUUUUUUCCGUUUCGUGUAGCUCUUAUUUUAAUGCCUCUAAUUACUUUUUCAACAUUAAUAAUUAACGGUGCAGAAUCGUAUAUACAAGAAGCAACUUGAAGGACAACUGUACAAGGAUCAAGGUCUAGAAUUUUAUACAGAGUCAAUAUACUGUAAAGUAGGGAAAAACCAGAAAUCUCUAAUAAAAGAUAUUUUACAAUAGAUUAAAGAAUAAUUAUAAUAUAAUGUAUCAUCUAUUGUGAAUUAGCAAGGACCUAAGAGUCUCAGCGGGGCGUCUGGCGGGAACGUUGCGCUACCUGCUCUCACUGAAGUAACUGUAACUUAGUCAGCUUUCAAAAUUUUAACUUAAACUAUUACCUACAUACUUUUCUCGCAUUGAAAAAUAAUUAAAAAAUAGAUUCUCUAUUGGAAAUCAAGUCUCAGAACAAAACAUUGUUAAUGACUUUCUUAAACAAAAAUAUCUAGAACGUGCUAUUUACAAAGUUAUACACACAAUGAUUUGUCGUGGAGAGCUUCAACAUCGGAUGCAACGAAAAAUAUUGUACAGGUUAUAUUAAAAUAUAAGAAAAGCUUUCAUUGUAUAAU